GCCACGCAGCACCCAUGCCAUGUGGGGAAGCCCAAUUUAAGAGGCUGCUAAACACAGACACCACAGCAGGAGAAAAUCCAUCCGCCAGAACUGGGAUUUCUCACACUACCUGUGUCUAAGGCUCACUUUGGUAUCCCUGGCUCUACUUUUCCUUAGGAACAGUCCUUGGGUCUUCAGACCUGGAAUCAGGAAAAGCUUCCUGUUGCGCUGCUAGAAAAAUUAAAUCGAUGUGUUUUAUUCAGCAGGUGAAUUGGAGACAAAGCCAAUCAACAUGAAACAAUAUGCAAGGAGAAAAUCUCAUGAGACUGGAAGUCUGAAACAGGGGCUACAAGACAAGUGGCUGCCCUAAGACCUGACCCUGUCUGCUGUGCCUCAUCCAGAGGAUGGCCCCCGAGAGAAUGAGGUCAUCUUCACCUACCUACAUCGAUGUUACAUAGACCUGCGGUUCAUACUUUCAAAUGCAGGGUGGGGUGACACCCGGAAACGCAGGACACCCUGGACCCCAACCUGUCACUGGGCACAGCACACUGCAGACAAACGAGGGACAGCAGUCCACCUAAGCGACAUGGUUUCGGGCUGUGGGCACAGUCCCAUGCACACAGAGCCAGUGUCGGAAAUCACGGCACCCGCCCCGGACGAGCGAGGUCACCCAGCAAUCCACAGGACCGCCGGCCACCUCAUUUUCCAGGAAGUUGAACUUAAAAUGCUUCCAUAAUUAUUUAUUUAUUAUUUAUGGUGCAGAAAGCAAAAUAAAUUAGUAAUGGAUUUCAUUUAGAUUCAGGUAUCAUUUAUAAACUACUUAAUUCUGCUUAACCAAUAUAACAAUGACUGAAUUAUUGAUUUAUGUGUCGACUAUAUCAUAUUAAAAUAUGUAUUUAUUGUUAUACAAUCAUAG